rnacentral:rRNA from 1 species
UACAGAGGUCCCAAGCGUUGUUCGGAUUCACUGGGCGUAAAGGGUGCGUAGGCGGUCGGGUAAGUCUGAUGUGAAAUCUCACAGCUUAACUGUGAAACUGCAUUGGAUACUAUUCGGCUCGAGGAAUGGAGGGGAGACUGGAAUACUUGGUGUAGCAGUGAAAUGCGUAGAUAUCAAGUGGAACACCAGUGGCGAAGGCGAGUCUCUGGACAUUUCCUGACGCUGAAGCACGAAAGCCAGGGGAGCAAACGGG